rnacentral:rRNA from 1 species
CUAUACAUGCAGUCGAGCGGACGGAUGGGAGCUUGCUCCCAGACCGUCAGCGGCGGACGGGUGAGUAACACGUGGGCAACCUGCCUGUAAGACUGGGAUAACUCCGGGAAACCGGGGCUAAUACCGGAUAACUCUUUCCCUCACAUGAGGAAAAGCUGAAAGAUGGCAUCUCGCUAUCACUUACAGAUGGGCCCGCGGCGCAUUAGCUAGUUGGUGAGGUAACGGCUCACCAAGGCGACGAUGCGUAGCCAACCUGAGAGGGUGAUCGGCCACACUGGGACUGAGACACGGCCCCAGACUCCUACGGGAGGCAGCAGUAGGGAAUCUUCCGCAAUGGACGAAAGUCUGACGGAGCAACGCCGCGUGAGUGAUGAAGGUUUUCGGAUCGUAAAACUCUGUUGUCAGGGAAGAACAAGUACCGGAGUAACUGCCGGUACCUUGACGGUACCUGACCAGAAAGCCACGGCUAACUACGUGCCAGCAGCCGCGGUAAUACGUAGGUGGCAAGCGUUGUCCGGAAUUAUUGGGCGUAAAGCGCGCGCAGGCGGUUCCUUAAGUCUGAUGUGAAAGCCCCCGGCUCAACCGGGGAGGGUCAUUGGAAACUGGGGAACUUGAGUGCAGAAGAGAAGAGUGGAAUUCCACGUGUAGCGGUGAAAUGCGUAGAGAUGUGGAGGAACACCAGUGGCGAAGGCGACUCUUUGGUCUGUAACUGACGCUGAGGCGCGAAAGCGUGGGGAGCAAACAGGAUUAGAUACCCUGGUAGUCCACGCCGUAAACGAUGAGUGCUAAGUGUUAGAGGGUUUCCGCCCUUUAGUGCUGCAGCAAACGCAUUAAGCACUCCGCCUGGGGAGUACGGCCGCAAGGCUGAAACUCAAAGGAAUUGACGGGGGCCCGCACAAGCGGUGGAGCAUGUGGUUUAAUUCGAAGCAACGCGAAGAACCUUACCAGGUCUUGACAUCUCCUGACAACCCUAGAGAUAGGGCGUUCCCCUUCGGGGGACAGGAUGACAGGUGGUGCAUGGUUGUCGUCAGCUCGUGUCGUGAGAUGUUGGGUUAAGUCCCGCAACGAGCGCAACCCUUGAUCUUAGUUGCCAGCAUUCAGUUGGGCACUCUAAGGUGACUGCCGGUGACAAACCGGAGGAAGGUGGGGAUGACGUCAAAUCAUCAUGCCCCUUAUGACCUGGGCUACACACGUGCUACAAUGGAUGGUACAAAGGGCUGCAAGACCGCGAGGUUAAGCGAAUCCCAUAAAACCAUUCUCAGUUCGGAUUGCAGGCUGCAACUCGCCUGCAUGAAGCCGG